AUGUUGUUUGCAUGUGCUAGCUUGAGGAUGUCACAAGUCAGUUCUCCAAGCUCACACCUCAGAGAGGUCAGAAUUUCCUAAGGACACAGAUCAUCGUAAGUCUGCUCAAAAAUAGAGGAAAGCAACUUUCACAUUCACGUUUCUGCCAACAAGAAGAAUAUUCUUUAGUCUGCACUGUGUGUAUGUAGUAUUGUGGGAGUAAGAGAUAGACCCUAGAGGGGUCUUCUACCCCCUUUCCUCUUUCUAUUCAUCUGUUAUAUCUUGAUUCUGAUAUUGCCAUGGUAAUCAGCAUCAUCAUAGAACACUUAUGUGUUCUCUUAGGCACGGAGACACAAAAUCUGAAGGAUUUCUCACAUCUCUUGGUCAUGUCUCAGAAGUUCUGAGUUUAUUCAGGAGCUGACAGAGACUAAAGGUUUAGCUGCAUGACUUCAUGGCGUCCUCAGUCUCCAACGGUGACUGCUCGAAAUCAGAGGAGUCGUACUUGGGCCUCAGUUCCAAGGAGAGGACCUCUGGGAGUGAUCUCCAUUAUUCCCACAUCUUUCCCAAAAAGACCACAACUCCCUUCAAAGGUUACGUCUCUCGCCGUGAGACUACUACCUUCUACAAAGGAUGCAUAGUGGGAUGCUCAGGCCACAACCUCCCUUCUGUCGAUGUGACAGAUACAAGAAGGGUAAAAGAAUGCGCUGAAAAGAAAGAUCAAAAUCAGGACAACGCUGACCAGGCUCAAAACCCAAGUGUCGACCUGGUCAAGCAGGUCUAGUCACAGAUCCCCGCCUGGUUCUCACCUUUGUGUCACUGGAAUCCCUGCCUCGGUCUCAGUAUCUAAUUAAAUUCCAUAUCCUCUACCAAAACUUGUCUCUGUGCUAAAGUGAACAGAAAAAGGGGCUCGGGUGGUCCCUUGCCCAGCUCUGCCACUUCCUUUCUGGGUAACAUGGCACAGGUCACUAAAAUUCCUUUCUACAACUUCAGUUACUUCCUCAGUAAACCAGAACUGGCAACGCCUAUAUCAAAGGUAGUUUUAAGGACUGUUGACAUUGUACAGAUGUUUUAAUGUGUGAUUUUAUGCCCACUUCAAUACGUUUUCUAUGUCUCUUGCUUUAUAAAUAUAUUUCUUGUUUGAUAAAAAUCAUGUUCCAUCCUUAA